CCUACGGGAGGCAGCAGUGAGGAAUAUUGGUCAAUGGCCGGAAGGCUGAACCAGCCAAGUCGCGUGAGGGACGACUGUCCUAUGGGUUGUAAACCUCUUUUAUAAGGGAAGAAAAACUGCUACGCGUAGCAUGAUGCCUGUACCUUAUGAAUAAGCAUCGGCUAACUCCGUGCCAGCAGCCGCGGUAAUACGGAGGAUGCGAGCGUUAUCCGGAUUUAUUGGGUUUAAAGGGUGCGUAGGCGGUUUUUUAAGUUAGUGGUUAAACGUCGGGGCUUAACCUUGACUUGCCAUUAAUACUGUAAGACUCGAGUUCAGACGAGGUAGGCGGAAUGAGUGAAGUAGCGGUGAAAUGCUUAGAUAU
rnacentral:rRNA from 1 species